rnacentral:rRNA from 1 species
UACGUAGGGUGCAAGCGUUGUUCGGAAUUACUGGGCGUAAAGGGCGCGUAGGCGGGCCUGUAUGUCGAUUGUGAAAUCCCAGGGCUUAACCUUGGAAUUGCAGUCGAAACUGCAGGUCUUGAAUGCCUGAGGGGAUGGCGGAAUUCCCGGUGUAGAGGUGAAAUUCGUAGAUAUUGGGAAGAACACCGGUGGCGAAGGCGGCUCUCUGGACCGAGACUGACGCUGAGGCGCGAAAGCGUGGGGAGCAAACAGG